GGAAAGGAAGAAAAAAUUGUAUCGAACUUCAGGGAAAGAUCGCGCACGACCUUCAAAGCUUUUCGCCAGUAAUCGCAAUCGGAAUCGCAACGGUAUCUUUCUUCUGCUAUCGGUUCCAUUCCGAUUUCGCACUCGAAUCUGAUCUCUCGUUAAGUGCCGUUCAUCUUCAAUUCGAGAAACUACUGCAUUUUCUUCAGUUUCUGAUGACAAGAUGGUUGAUCUUUAACAAGAAUCCAGGGUUUUCCAGUCAUUUUCGGAGGUUUGAUGUCAAUGAAGCUGAAGAAAGUGGACGAAUAUUUCGAAUGGAAGCUGAAUGAAUCGGUAUGUUCUCGGCCAUCGUGCUUGAUUGUUCUUGGAGACUCUAUCUGCUGCGUGAGUAAAUAUUUGUAAUUAGUUAUUUGUAUUAAGCAGCUGUGAAUGAUUAUUGGACAGGAGUAAUAUAAUUUCUCUUAUUCAUCUGAGUAACCAUCACUUCCACUGCACGAGUAAAUGGAUCCUUCAGUUUCAUGAAUUUAUUUCAUAGCCAGAUGAUUCAGCGUGAAAUUUAUAUAAGCUAUGGAAGUGUCCUGUUUGAUUGGAUAGAUAUUCGAAUUACGUAGUGACGUCAAUAGUUAUUCCAUUGCAGGGAUUCAUACUUUGAAAUUACGAUUUCCAGUUUUCCUCUCAUUUUGUUUUGUUUCUGUUUCUGGUGAUUGUCCACUUACACGGAGGAGCUACUCGCAUUUCAAUGAAUUGUCGUUCUCUUAGUCAUGAAUCCGGUUGAUGUAGAUUCUCAGUCUAAGAAGCUUCCGGAUGCGUUGAUUCUUGAUAGAGAUCGUCUCAAAUGAAUUCUUCGUCUGAAGAGAGAUUCAGCUGCCUGUUGUCUAUUUUAUUGUGUUUCAUCCGAGGGAGGCAGUCUCUCUGGCGCAUCAUAAUGCCUCUUCAUCUUUUUAGGUCAAUUUACGCGUACAUCGACUAAUCAUGAGAUAACUGUCCGAUUCUAUUAUAUUAAGCUCGGGUAGGUGGUCACCAUGGUUUGAAUCUAUUCCCUUUUUAAGUUCCUUACUAUUUACAUCGGUUCUUAUUGAUCACU